rnacentral:tRNA from 1 species
UGGUGUAUUUGGUAAACUUUUGGCUGCUAACCAAAAGGUUGGUAGUUCGAAUCUACC